rnacentral:rRNA from 1 species
GUGGGGAAUCUUCCGCAAUGGACGAAAGUCUGACGGAGCAACGCCGCGUGAGUGAUGAAGGUCUUCGGAUUGUAAAGCUCUGUUAAUCGGGACGAAAGAGCCUAGUGUGAAUAAUGCUAGGAAGUGACGGUACCGGAAUAGAAAGCCACGGCUAACUACGUGCCAGCAGCCGCGGUAAUACGUAGGUGGCAAGCGUUGUCCGGAAUUAUUGGGCGUAAAGCGCGCGCAGGCGGAUCUGCCAGUCUGUCUUAAAAGUUCGGGGCUUAACCCCGUGAUGGGAUGGAAACUACAGAUCUAGAGUAUCGGAGAGGAAAGUGGAAUUCCUAGUGUAGCGGUGAAAUGCGUAGAUAUUAGGAAGAACAACAGUGGCGAAGGCGACUUUCUGGACGAAAACUGACGCUGAGGCGCGAAAGCCAGGGGAGCGAACGGGAUUAGAUACCCGGGUAGUCC